rnacentral:lncRNA from 1 species
AGAGAGAGAAUGUGUGUAUGCGUAUAUGUGUUGGUGGAUGAGUUGUCUACCAUUUCUUUUAAGAGUUCUCAUUAUUGAGGUGAGUAAUUUAUAUAAUGUGUUCUAAAACUUCUUAUUUUAUGAUAAAAUGAAAAACCAUGAAUUAUCAUGGAUUUCUUCUAUUUAUAAAGGCUUAUUUAUGGAUAUGCCCCAUGUGCUUUUAAAAUAGUCUCAUAUUACCACAUGUUCUAUGAAAUGUCUCAAUAUACCAUCUAUAUACUUUCAAUAAGUGUCUCACGUUAGCUAUUCCUUCAGAUCAGAGAGAAGUUCCUUUAGCUGAUGUUGUGGCGCCCACUUCUUUUGAAUCUCUUAACAAGGGAGAUGAAGGUUUGGUUAGGUUGAGAAAAGGGGGAAUUUGGGAGAAGAAGGUUAGGUUAAGGGAAUUUCAGAUUUGGGAGAAAAUGAUGGAUUUGGGACUCAAUAUGGUGAAGUCUUGCAAGGACCGGAGCUCGGUCUCACUGGUGUGCAAGGACUGGUACGACGCGGAGCGGUGGUCCCGCCGCAAGUAUUCUUCGGAAACUGCUACUCGGCGUCGCCGGAUAUAGUGACCCGGCGGUUUCCUGAGCAUCCGGAGCGUGACCCUGAAGAGGUAGACCCCGUUCUCGGACUUCAUCUGGUUCCUCCGGAACUGGGAGCAGCGAUGUACAGGCUUGGCUGGGAGUGUUUGCCAGCGAAUACGCGCUUCUGAGAACUGAGCUGAAGAGGAUGACGUGACUGAUAUAGCUUGAUUCUGGCUGUGCGUUUCUGGGGUCAAAUCUCUCUCCGUUCAGAAUUGGAAGGGUUCAGCNNNNNNNNNNNNNNNNNNNNNNNNNNNNNNNNNNNNNNNNNNNNNNNNNNNNNNNNNNNNNNNNNNNNNNNNNNNNNNNNNNNNNNNNNNNNNNNNNNNNUACGACAACAAGUGGAGGUGCAACACCUAACCAGCAGGCACGGGAGGUUCGAACGUUCUAACAUUAGAGGGGAGCACCCAAUUUGAUCCUACUCAAUAUAAUUCAACAUCUUCUCCCAAAUUUGAACCUCUCACAUUGCCAAAUAUGAUCCUCUCGAAUCCCCAAAUUGAAAAUGGGAUCCCCCCCCUUCUUCUCCCAAAUUCCCCAUUUUCUCAACCUGACUAACCAUUCAUCUCCAUUGUUAAGAGAUUGAAAAGAAGUGGGGGUCACAUCAACGAACGGAACUUCUAUCAAAUCUGACGGAAUAGCUAACGUGAGACACUUAUUGAAAGCAUAGAUGGUAUAUUGAGACAUUUCAAAGAACAGGUAGUAAUUUGAGACUAUUUUGAAAGCACAUGUAUCCAUAAAUAAGCCAUUUAUAAAUAUCUUUUUAUUUCAAGUCAAAUAUGUCUAAUUUGGUGCAGUGUUUCACACUAUUAUUAUUUGGAAUAUUAGUAAUGUACGCACUAUUUAUAGAACAUGAGAACUUCAGUGAUGGGGUAUCCAAGGGGUAGAUGUACCACAUGGGGAUAUAGGGUGGUGAGGCCAAUAGGGGUCACAUGAUCGGUUACAUGCUAUGAAGGAUAACCGAGUUAUGAAGUAAUGAUGUGAUAUGAUCUGGAUUGGUCUUUGUUUUCAUGAUAUUUUUUAUAGUGUGUAAACGACAUUUCUUGACUAGCACAUUACAUAAUUUACUCACUGAGUGGUCUUUGCUAAUCCCUCACCCUGUUUAUUUUUAGAUAGAUUAUAUAGUGGAAAAGAUAAGGACCAAACCACUUGAGGUUGAAAUUGAUGAGAAUAGUAGAAAUUUAUUUAUUGUUGGUACAAUUGAAAGAUUUGGAGCUGUUUUUAAUAGAGAAGUUUAUUUUAACCAAUUUUUUGGCCCUUUUAUUUUAACGUUUUAUUAUCACACAUCGGCCACAUGAUUUCUUCCCUAACCCAGGUCGUGGGCAUGACAGAGCUCACAUCCAUCGCAGCCUCCUUCGCUACUGUAGUCACUGCCACCGCAGUGGGGAAAUGGUAAAUAUAACCGAAACUACUGCAACCCAAGAACCUACAACAACAAACAAAAAGCCCCAGAAAUUCGGAGAGAGAGAAAGGAAGGAAGAGGAGAAAGAAGGGGGGACGGGUAAAGAGAGGAGGGGCAGAGACUAACUCCCCCUUGUUGCGGCCCUGAAGGGAGGCUAUCGUGUUUGGGUUUGAGAGCGUUUCAGAGGCUACUUGAUAGCUAUAUGGAUGGAUGGAGGGGCCAAUUGUGUAGCGGUUUGUAACUUUAUGGUUAUUUUUAUCAAUUUUUAGAAAACUCCGAUCAAAACUUCUACAUACUCCAAGAUAGGGCAUGAAAACUACUUCUUAUAUAUUGCAUAUAACACAUCUCCACUCAUUAUUCAGAGUUCAUCAUUAGUUUUGGAAAUUCUUAUACCAUUAUCUAGUGUCC